rnacentral:lncRNA from 1 species
UGAGGUAGUGUUGGAUUUUUUUUUUAGGGAAAGCCCAAAACUUUGAAGGUGGAUGUGUUUCUUUCACUCAUAUAUAAAAUGGAUACCAAUUUUCAGAGGUGCGUCGUUUUCGGUUCUAUCAUAUUAGGAUUUUAAAUAAUCUUGGUGGGUGGAGGAUUUUGAAUCCUAUGUCUCAUUUUUCAUAAGUUUCAUUUACGUUUUUUUUUUUUCAAGUAGUUAAUAGUAAUUCAUAACCUCAAUUUCCACGUUUUUAUUUUAUAUUAACUCUAGUUUGUUUUUUUAAUAUUUUAAGCUUUACAAAUUUAUGUGUGCGUGUGUUGGCCAAGCGGUAAGGGGUUAAUGCCCAAGGCCAAAGGUCUUGGGUUCGAGUUUCUGUGGCGC